rnacentral:lncRNA from 1 species
AUUUCUGUGCACAUUUCAUCGGAAAAGUGCUGAAAUUUUUUUGAUAGCAGUCAUCGAGCCGAAUAGCUUUUUUGUGCUAUCAGUUUUCUUUAAACUCCUUGUGCAAGUCAUAUCUGUGGAACAGUUAUGUGAUUGUAAGUUUUGUGUAUCCAAAUCAAUAAUUUUGUUGUAUAACGGUGUGUGAAGCCCAAAUACGUGAUAAUGUCCACGGUGAGGGCUGGUCGUGUGAGUAAACUUAGGAGAGGCCAUCGUGUGAAGAAUGGAUCAGGACAGUAAGGUGCAUGAUCUUAGUGAUGGUCGCUUGAUCUGUCGCCGGGCUGAAGCUGCGACUAGACCGGACCUAUCUUUGGGAUGAAAUGUUUUGAGAAUGAUGGCCAUAAUGGAGGGGGAUAGCGAACAGGUCCCAAAGGAAUUCCUGGAGACGGGGCGGACGGGGCGCAGGAACGCCAUGCCGGACAUACUCCAGCAGCAGGGCGCGGAGGCGACCACCGCGGACCUGCCGGCGAGGCUGCAGCAGCUCGCCACCACGGACACAGACGAGCCUCAGCCGUGUACGUCUUACGCGCAAACCGACACGAAAACAGAAGACGCGCACAAACAGAAAAGAGACGGCUGCAGUUGAGCUAUCUCCCUCACUCACGGUCCUCGGACUGCUAUGGACUUGCCCAAAGCAAAAGUAAUCUCAACCAGGUAACUUAAGCACUGAGUAAUGUAGCCCCCACCUUAAUUAUAGGUAUGGUGUACAAAUAUAGGUCUAAUGUCUUGAAUAGUUAGGUUUGAAUUUGAUUGUAAGAUGGUCGCAGGGGCUCCAAUGUCUAUUAAGAAGGUACUACGUAAUUCACCGAGCACUUGUUCAAAGAACAUAAUAUAGCACUUAUCGCAAAUAUUACAGACAUUUUUAUUUUAAUUACAUUGACUGGAAUAAGAUUACAAAAGGAUUACGAUAACGUAUUGACGUCGUUUAUUUCAUUGUUACUGUCGAACUGUGGUGGAUUGUAUCUGUGUGACGAUAAAAAUGGUCAUUUACCUUUGGCUUUUCAAUGUCAAUGACAUUUCUAGUAAUUUUGCAUUUUAAAACCUGGCGUAGAGAGGUGAACAAUACAGGCUUUGCCCAAUAAAGGUACCAGUCCCCAUAUAUCUCUACAUAUUCUUUUCUAACAGUAAAAAUAUUGCUGCCUGUAUCAGUGCUUGACAGAAUUCAGAAGUCAACGAUGCACUAGUACAGUUAGGGGCAGAUAAAUGUAACCUUUUUAUGCCAUUGGUUCAUAUACAUACAGGACAGGUACAUCUACCCCCGGUUGUACAUAGUGUUUGCAAUAGCUUUGUAAGGAUCAAUAAGAUAUAUUGAUGAACAUGUUUGUGUAAAAUAACUAAAUUAAAUUGGCACUCUUUAGCAUGCAUCUUCCUGCAUACAUAUCAUAGCUAAGCGUUAUUGCCUCGGAUAACUGUCUAGUUAGAAGAAUAUAUAAGAAAGUACAAUGUAAGUUACAUUGCGUAAGUUUUUUCAAUAAUAUUCUGUAUGUUAAAGCUACCGCACGUAGAAACCUUAGGCGGAGCGAACGCGAAUGCGCGCAUUUCGUUUCAUAUGAGUUUGUAUGAAACACGACACAUACACUAACGUACUAACCUCUAGAAAGGCAAACGUAACACCUUAACGCCUCCGGUUUCUAUUUAUGGCAGUUUUAAAGAAACGGAGCCCCUCGUGUGUGUUAAAUGUAAAUCUUCUCAAUGUGAGGAUAUAAAAUCGUCGAACAUAAGACAAUAUUGUAUCAAAUGAAUGAGAAGGAUUUAUCGAUGUCAUAACGUGAUUGUUAGCAAUUCUAGAUGUUACGUUUCCGAUGCUAAAAGCAUAAGGACUAAGUAGUUUGUGUAGAUAUGUUCGCGCUAGUGUUGCUGCGCGAUAGUCAACUAUCGAUGGUGUUUUGAAAGGACUAUCGAUAGUUUUGAAAUCGACAGUAACAUGGUAUAUCUGGUUCUAUGUCGAUUGCAAAACUAUCGAUAAUAGUUCAGCAACACUAGUUCGCGCACAAAAUUGAUUCGUAUGUUUUGGCUGUGUUGGGUCAUCAAUGCGAUGAAACUUUGCAUUUUGAAACAGAUUAGGGUUUUAAGGAAAUUGCGAAUCACUUUUGUUUGGUAUUGUACCGUAGAAACUUCAGUGUUAUUAGGUGCGCUGCUUGUAUUUAGGUUAUGUAAGGUUGGUUCAAAUUAAUUGUGAAUUCGAAAGCACGUUCCGUAUGUGAUGCAAAACAAACCGCUGAACUGGGGAAUUAUAUAGGUAAAUCAGUUUUUGUUAGUAUAGUCACAGUUGGUUUGACUUUUGUAUUAUAUGAUUUGAAACUCGUGUUAGUGUAACUAGAUCGCAUUGUUAUCUUUGUUGAUUCAAAGAGUUUAAAUAUUUUUAAACCAAAAUUAAGGUUGAUACCGAAAAAGAAAUCUGAAAUAUAUUAUUUUAUUUAGCCAGUUGAAUGAGAACUAUAAUCGUGCUUUCCUUACUCUUAUGUAAUACUAGAGGCCGCCCGCGACUUCGUCCGCAUGGAAACCCUAUCAAUCCCGCGGGAACUCUGGGAU